UCCGUAGGCGGUGUGGCAAGUCGGAAGUGAAAUCUCUGGGCUUAACUCAGAGGCUGCUUCCGAAACUGCCGUGCUAGAGUGCGAGAGAGGCAAGUGGAAUUGCGGGUGUAGCGGUGAAAUGCGUAGAUAUCCGCAGGAACAUCCGAGGCGAAAGCGGCUUGCUGGAUCGCAACUGACGCUGAGGGACGAAAGCUAGGGGAGCAAACAGGAUUAGAUACCCUGGUAGUCCUAGCCCUAAACCAUCAGGACUUGGGGUUUGCCCUGUACGGGGCAAGUCCCGUAGCUAACGCGUUAAGUCCUGCGCCUGGGCAGUACGGUCGCAAGGCUGAA
rnacentral:rRNA from 1 species